AGAGUUUGAUCAUGGCUCAGAAUGAACGUUGGCGGCGUGGAUUAGGCAUGCAAGUCGCGCGAGAAAUUUUCUUCGGAAGAUGGAAAGCGGCGGAAGGGAGAGGAUAAGGUAGAAAUCUACCCUCGGGACGGGGAUAGCUGCGGGAAACUGCUGGUAAUACCCGAUAAUAUCUUUGGAUCAAAGGUGUGAUUCCGCCUGGGGAUGAGUCUACUUCCUAUUAGCUAGUUGGCAGGGUAAUGGCCUACCAAGGCAACGAUGGGUAGCGGGUGUGAGAGCAUGACCCGCCUCACUGGGACUGAGAACUGCCCAGACACCUACGGGUGGCUGCAGUCGAGAAUCUUCGGCAAUGGGCGCAAGCCUGACCGAGCGACGCCGCGUGCGGGAUGAAGGCCUUCGGGUUGUAAACCGCUGUCGUAGGGGAACAAAUGUAGGAGGGUUCUCCCUUCUACUUGAGUGAUCCUAGGAGGAAGGGGAGGCUAAGCUCGUGCCAGCAGCCGCGGUAAGACGAGCUCCCCGAACGUUAUUCGGUAUUACUGGGCUUAAAGAGUUCGUAGGCGGCCCGACAGGUGAGGUGUGAAAUCCCUCGGCUCAACCGAGGAACUGCGCUUCAAACCGUCAGGCUUGAGGGAGAUAGAGGUGAGCGGAACAGAUGGUGGAGCGGUGAAAUGCGUUGAUAUCAUCUGGAACACCGGUGGCGAAAGC
rnacentral:rRNA from 1 species